rnacentral:rRNA from 1 species
UACGACGGGGGCUAGCGUUGCUCGGAAUCACUGGGCGUAAAGCGCACGUAGGCGGCUCGUUAAGUCGGAGGUGAAAUCCUGGAGCUCAACUCCAGAACUGCCUUCGAUACUGGCGAUCUUGGAGUCCGGGAGAGGUGAGUGGAACUCCGAGUGUAGAGGUGAAAUUCGUAGAUAUUCGGAAGAACACCAGUGGCGAAGGCGGCUCACUGGCCCGGUACUGACGCUGAGGUGCGAAAGCGUGGGGAGCAAACAGG